rnacentral:rRNA from 1 species
UGGGGAAUAUUGCACAAUGGGCGAAAGCCUGAUGCAGCAACGCCGCGUGAGUGAUGAAAGCCUUCGGGUUGUAAAGCUCUGUCUUUUGGGACGAUAAUGACGGUACCAAAGGAGGAAGCCACGGCUAACUACGUGCCAGCAGCCGCGGUAAUACGUAGGUGGCAAGCGUUGUCCGGAUUUACUGGGCGUAAAGGAUGCGUAGGCGGAUUUUUAAGUGAGAUGUGAAAACCCUAAGCUUAACUUGGGGACUGCAUUUCAUACUGGAAAUCUAGAGUGCGGGAGAGGAGAAUGGAAUUCCUAGUGUAGCGGUGAAAUGCGUAGAGAUUAGGAAGAACACCAGUGGCGAAGGCGAUUCUCUGGACCGUAACUGACGCUGAGGCAUGAAAGCGUGGGUAGCAAACAGGAUUAGAUACCCUGGUAGUCCACGCCGUAAACGAUGAGUACUAGGUGUAGGAGGUAUCGACCCCUUCUGUGCCGCAGUUAACACAAUAAGUACUCCGCCUGGGAAGUACGAUCGCAAGAUUAAAACUCAAAUGAAUUGACGGGGUCAUAGCUG